AGUUUUAUGGUACACACAGUUCCUUUCAGCUAUGGGGCCCUAGCUUAUGAGCACCGUUUGCCUCAGGAAGUUGAGAACACACGGUGCUACCACAAAUCCAGCUGGAUCUCAAAUUGCCCUCACCUAUGGGCUGGUGGUGGCUCUUGCAGGUGGAGGCCUCACGCCAUGUAAGGACCAACAAGAAGCAGGAAGGACAGACUGGCUUUAGGGCAAGCCAGCAGAUCUGAAGAAUGGGAGCAGGAUGACAGCAUAGUGAUGAUCAAACUCUACUCCCAGUGCUCCAAGAAGCCUCGGAUUAAAAAAAAGAAAACCCAGCCAAAAACCUAGAACCUAAGCAGCUGACAUCGACUGAAGUUUGCCAGGUCUCAGAACAUCUAAUAAAUCCAUAUGAUUGACUUGCUUUUCUAUAAUGAUUCACGUAGCUGAAAUUUGAUCCAUCUUCAGACUUCCUACAAUUCCUCUUCCAUGUGCCCAGAUACAGACAUCAGUUCCUCCUUCCGUAAAUUGUCUGUUGUGAAUGGGAAAGCACACUGGUGAAUUCAGUGCUGGCAUUAAAGAAUAGAAGCCUUUCCUACCCAUGAGCUGCUGCUGCAAACGGUUACAGAGCAGAAUUUAUCAUGAUGCAAGCAAGAUCAUCCUCGGCAGUAAGAAAUGCUAUAUACAGAUGAAGUGGCUCCUGAUGGAUCUGGCAGCUCAAGCACUGACAGAAAGGAUUGGACCCCUUUUUGUGGAAACAACAAGAGAAAAGCUCUGAUUUGGUAUUUAAAUGCUAGAGCUCAAGGGCCUGUCCUUGGGAAGUGCUGACCACUUGAUUUUUGCUGCAGUCAGUUCUUUUUUUCAACACCCUGCACCCAACACCCUCUGUAGACCCAUGGUCUGCCUUAGGGAUUUAUGUCAAAUAUUCUUAUUAGAAACACAGGACAGGAAGGUACCUGACCUACUCAGAACCAUCUUUGAGAAAGUCAUGAAUGGCCUUCAGAGUAGAGCAGGUCAAUGAAAAGGCAGGAAAAGGCAGCAGACCUUCAGGACUGUACUAGAAAUGAAGAGGACAUUUCUCAUUUGGAAUAGAAAUGUACAGAAGUGUCUUAAUAUUACACAGAAAGCAUGGUGGAAAGCUGACACAAGAACCAGAGAGUCUGCUCCCACUGACCUAUUUCAAUGGAACUUUUGACUUAAAGACCCCUUCAGUCGCUAGCAAAGAACAAUAGAUAUUAUUUGUUCAUGAACACAACCACAUGGCAGUAAGAUAAAUAUGCUCUUAACAUUAUAAGCUGAGGUGAUAAAAUCCAAAUCUUAGCCAUAAGAAAAAAUAAAUAAAUAAAGUUGUACAAAACAUUCGUUUGAUCUGAGACAUUUUUAGUACUUUUGGAAAAAGCACAGGGUGAAAACCUACUGUCUGGGACCCAGCCCAUUUAAUACCAGCAGAACAGUCAUUCUACUCAGAGGCGACACCGGGAUGUUUCAGUUCUACAAUUCAUAAUUUUGUAGCAAAUCCUAUAGGAGGCCUCGACAUUUCUGUAGGAACUUCAGUAGCCUUUUCAGAAAAGAUAAUACAAAAGAGGAAAUAAACAAACAAACAAACAAAUAAAUAAAACCCAAUGCUCAUUUACCAGACUGGCUUCUUUUUUGUAGCUUUAACUUUUUUCCCCCGCAGAAAUAAAGCAGUGGUUUG
ensembl:lncRNA